AUCUGCGGUCUGAGACAGCUGUGUAUGAAGAGCAUUUACAUACAGAGACACUUUGCAUGAGAGUGUUUAUAGUGCUGUGAGUUUAACACUUCAUGACUGAGAGCAGAACAGAACACAAUCUUCAUCAUCACACAAGACACAACAACAACAAUGAACAACAUCAUCAUCCUCAUCUGGACUCUCUGUAUAUGCAUACAAGGUUUCAGUGGACAGGUGACUGUGACUCAGACUCCCUCUGUUAAAACAGUUCAGAUUGGUGAAUCAGUCACUAUAAACUGUAAAACAAACACAGCAGUGUAUGACGGCUGUCCAGGUCCAUAUACUUGUAUGGCCUGGUAUCAGCAGAAACCUGGAGAAGCUCCUAAACUCUUGACUCGUUAUGCAAACCAAAGAGAGACAAACACUCCAUCUAGAUUCAGUGGCAGUGGAUCCAGAACAGAUUUCACUCUGACCAUCAGUGGAGUCCAGACUGAAGAUACCGGAUAUUAUUACUGUCAAAGUAGACACUAUAUCAGUAGUAGCUAUGUGUUCACACAGUGAUAAAGAGUCGUACA